AUUAAAUAUUCUUAAAAAAAGCUUUAACAACUCUGGGUCCAUGUUAUUAAUGCCGAUUCGUUUUAAAGAAGUGAUAGUUAAAGAAUCCAAAGUAGUCCCUGGUAUUUAUUUCUCUGCUCAUCAAUCUCAUUUAGUUUCUUUUACAAAUAAAAUAUAUAAAGAUCCAUACAUAGCCACUGAUAUCCACAAGAUCUACCCAGAUACGUCUGCCAAGGGAGAUCAAAUCAACCUGAACUCCUUCCAUUCAUAAAAAUAAAAUUAAUUUUGAAAUAUAGAUCAAUAUCCAUUUCAUCGAGAUCACUGUCUCAAGAGCACUGCAACCUAACAACUACUCUGCGUUUGGAAACCCCAGUUAUGCUAACAAUAUUAAAAUAAGUACCAAAUUAUACUAGUAAUUGGAUAACCUAAAAUUGAGGUGAAAAAAAAAAAUAUAUAUAUAUAUAUAUAUUAGAUUAACUUGGAGAUUCUUGUUCUAUAAACUGUCUCAGUCAUAUAAUUUGCACUAGCACGAAAAUCGGGAAAGCCACCCUUAUAUGCCAAAAACUUGUGUUGCACGGUCAAUUUUUUUGCAAGUACAUAUUUAGCCCCGGUUUGGUUCCGACUUUUCACCCUAAAAAAUCAAUUUUUUUACUGUUACUUCCCUAAGUCAGCCAUCAUUUUUUACUUCUUCACUCAUAGGUGGGACCUAUUUUUCUUUCUAACGAUCAAAAAAUUGAUUCUCAUAAUCACCGUCGAACAAGUCCUUAAUAUGUGAAAUGCACAUAUACAAAGAAUGCACAAUGUCUACGUAAACAAAAUCUAGAAAUGUGAAUUUAGCCGUGACUUUCGACCUAAUAAAUAUACUGAUUCAGGUAAGCACUAGGUCGUAUUAAAUUACCAGGGUAUGUGCUUCUUGGCUUUGCAAAGGGCUGCAAAGGCUCCAAAGUCUUCACCUUUCCCCACAAUUUCCUAUAUUCAGCAUCCUUCAACG
rnacentral:lncRNA from 1 species